GCAAGUCGAACGGUAACAGCAGAGCUUGCUCUGGCUGACGAGUGGCGGACGGGUGAGUAACGCGUAGGAAUCUGCCUUAUAGUGGGGGACAACUCGGGGAAACUCGAGCUAAUACCGCAUACGCCCUACGGGGGAAAGCGGGGGAUCUUCGGACCUCGCGCUAUCGGAUGAGCCUGCGUUGGAUUAGCUAGUUGGUGGGGUAAAGGCCUACCAAGGCAACGAUCCAUAGCUGUUCUGAGAGGAAGAUC
rnacentral:rRNA from 1 species